CCUACGGGCCGCACCAGUGGGGAAUAUUGCACAAUGGGCGCAAGCCUGAUGCAGCCAUGCCGCGUGUAUGAAGAAGGCCCUCGGGUUGUAAAGUACUUUCAGCGAGGAGGAAGGCAUUAAGGUUAAUAACCUUGGUGAUUGACGUUACUCGCAGAAGAAGCACCGGCUAACUCCGUACCAGCAGCCGCGGUAAUACGGAGGGUGCAAGCGUUAAUCGGAAUUACUGGGCGUAAAGCGCACGCAAGCGGUCUGUCAAGUCGGAUGUGGAAUCCCCGGGCUCAACCUGGGAACUGCAUUCGAAACUGGCAGGCUAGAGUCUUGUAGAGGGGGGUAGAAUUCCAGGUGUAGCGGUGAAAUGCGUAGAGAUCUGGAGGAAUACCGGUGGCGAAGGCGGCCCCCUGGACAAAGACUGACGCUCAGGUGCGAAAGCGUGGGGAGCAAACAGGAUUAGAUACCCGAGUAGUC
rnacentral:rRNA from 1 species